CUCCUACAAAAGACGGAGUGACACAUGUUGCUGCUAGUCCGGCUAGAGGAUGUGCGUCACACGCACGAAAUGGCCGGUUCCAGCUGCCCCCAUCCUCGUUCAUGCUCCUGUACCUGCCUGUACUUGAGAUGCCAACUAACCGAGAAUAAAGCAUCUUACUGCAUGGGUUAUGAAAGCAGUGCUAUCGGAGGCACAUGAAGACUUUACAAUGUUCCAUUCUGGACCACACAGGUAUAAAUGGAUUUCAAUAUUUCACCAGUGCCUCUAGAUGUGCAGUGCUGUCAGCAAGGAACAGCCAAAUGAGCAGAACCAUGCCUCAACGUCCGCAACCUGCUGGAGUAGACCUCAUUCUUUCAUGGGCAGUGCAUGCAAUAUGGGAGAGGACAAAUGCAUCGGGGCUCCUGGGACUAAAUGCUAAAUCUGUUGCAGGGUCCACAACUACCAUGUGCCAUUUAUAUUGCUGGUGUCAUCCUAGGAGAUAGAAGGGCCAUUGAGAGACCCUAGCCUGGUGCAAUUGCCAUCUC